AUUGAACGCUGGCGGCAUGCUUUACACAUGCAAGUCGAACGGUAACAGGCCUUCGGGCGCUGACGAGUGGCGAACGGGUGAGUAAUGCAUCGGAACGUGCCCAGUCGUGGGGGAUAACUAUGCGCAAGGAUAGCUAAUACCGCAUACGAUCUGCGGAUGAAAGAGGGGGACCUUCGGGCCUCGCGCGAUUGGAGCGGCCGAUGUCAGAUUAGGUCGUUGGUGGGGUAAAGGCUCACCAAGCCAACGAUCUGUAGCUGGUCUGAGAGGACGACCAGCCACACUGGGACUGAGACACGGCCCAGACUCCUACGGGAGGCAGCAGUGGGGAAUUUUGGACAAUGGGCGCAAGCCUGAUCCAGCAAUGCCGCGUGCAGGAAGAAGGCCUUCGGGUUGUAAACUGCUUUUGUACGGAACGAAACGGCUCUGGUUAAUACCCGGGGCUAAUGACGGUACCGUAAGAAUAAGCACCGGCUAACUACGUGCCAGCCGCCGCUGUAAAAC
rnacentral:rRNA from 1 species